GUGCCAGCCGCCGCGGUAAUACGGAGGGUGCAAGCAUUAAUCGGAUUUAUUGGGCGUAAAGGGCGCGUAGGCGGAUAGAUAAGUCAGAUGUGAAAUUCCAAGGCUCAACUUUGGAGCUGCAUUUGAAACUAUUUAUCUUGAGGGAUGGCGGAGAAAACGGAAUUCCACGUGUAGCGGUGAAAUGCGUAGAUAUGUGGAGGAACACCUGUGGCGAAAGCGGUUUUCUAGCUUAUACCUGACGCUGAGGCGCGAGAGCAAGGGGAGCAAACAGGAUUAGAAACCCUCGUAGUCC
rnacentral:rRNA from 1 species